rnacentral:rRNA from 1 species
AGAGUUUGAUCAUGGCUCAGGACGAACGCUGGCGGCGCGCCUAAUGCAUGCAAGUCGAACGAGGUCUCACCUUCGGGUGAGUUCCCUAGUGGCCGACGGCUGAGUAACACGUGGGUAACCUGCCCUUGAGUUCGGGAUAACAGCGAGAAAUCGCUGCUAAUACCGGAUACACUCUGCUUGCUAAGAGCUUGUAGAGGAAAGAUUUAUCGCUCUAGGAUGGGCCUGCGUCCUAUCAGGUAGUUGGUGUGGUAACGGCACACCAAGCCAUAAACGGGUAGCUGGUGUGAGAGCAUGACCAGUCAGAGGGGGACUGAGACACGGCCCCCACUCCUCCGGGAGGCAGCAGCAAGGAAUCNUGCACAAUGGGCGAAAGCCUGAUGCCGCGACGCCGCGUGAGGGAUGACGGCUUUCGAGUUGUAAACCUCUUUCUCNANGNGAAGA